rnacentral:lncRNA from 1 species
GGGAUCAACACAUGAGUACAAGCAGCACACAAACUCAAAGCCGCCAUCCUCCUCCUGGUCCAGCAUCUUCAGCCACGCUAACCACUGCUGUCCUCCUUGCCCCCUCUCAACCAUCCGCCCCUCCGUCUCUCGCCUUGAGCAGUUCCUGCUCAUCUGCCCACAGUCAGGUGUCUGUCAAGGACAUGUUUGAGAAUAAGAAGCCAAUGUCAGAA